rnacentral:piRNA from 1 species
CUGUGUUUGUGCUGUGACUC